AAUAGAUACCCGGUAGUCCACGCCGUAAACGUUGGGCACUAGGUGUGGGGUCUAUUCAACGGACUCCGUGCCGUAGCUAACGCAUUAAGUGCCCCGCCUGGGGAGUACGGCCGCAAGGCUAAAACUCAAAGGAAUUGACGGGGGCCCGCACAAGCAGCGGAGCAUGUUGCUUAAUUCGAGGCAACGCGAAGAACCUUACCUGGGUUUGACAUGUAGAGAAAAGCCAUAGAGAUAUGGUGUCCUUCGGGGUUCUACACAGGUGGUGCAUGGUUGUCGUCAGCUCGUGUCGUGAGAUGUUGGGUUAAGUCCCGCAACGAGCGCAACCCUUGUCCUAUGUUGCCAGCACGUCAUGGUGGGGACUCGUAGGAGACUGCCGGGGUCAACUCGGAGGAAGGUGGGGACGACGUCAAAUCAUCAUGCCCCUUAUAUCCAGGGCUGCAAACAUGCUACAAUGGCCGGUACAAAGGGCUGCAAAACCGCGAGGUGGAGCGAAUCCCAUAAAGCCGGUCUCAGUUCGGAUUGGAGUCUGCAACUCGACUCC
rnacentral:rRNA from 1 species